CGGAGGAUCCAAGCGUUAUCCGGAAUCAUUGGGUUUAAAGGGUCCGUAGGCGGUCUUGUAAGUCAGUGGUGAAAGCCCAUCGCUCAACGGUGGAACGGCCAUUGAUACUGCAGGACUCGAAUUACUGGGAAGCAACUAGAAUAUGUAGUGUAGCGGUGAAAUGCUUAGAGAUUACAUGGAAUACCAAUUGCGAAGGCAGGUUGCUACCGGUGGAUUGACGCUGAUGGACGAAAGCGUGGGUAGCGAACAGGAUUAGAUACCCUGGUAGUCCACGCCGUAAACGAUGGAUACUAGCUGUUGGGCGCAAGUUCAGUGGCUAAGCGAAAGUGAUAAGUAUCCCACCUGGGGAGUACGAACGCAAGUUUG
rnacentral:rRNA from 1 species